rnacentral:rRNA from 1 species
CUGUUUAACAAAAACAUUUUUUAAAGAUAAUAAUUUUAAAUACAACCUGCUCAAUGUUAAAUAAAUAGCCGCAGAAAUUUAACUGUGCUAAGGUAGNCAUAAUCAUUAGACUUUUAAUUAGAGCCUAGAAUGAAGGGUUAAACAUUUUUCUUUCUUUUUUANNAAUUCUUUAAUAAAACUUUUAUUAAAAAUAAAAAUAUUUUUAUAUUUUAAUUAGACGACNAAGACCCCAUCAAACUUUACUUUAGUUUAACUGGGGCAGUUAAUUAAUAAAAAUUUUAAUAAAGAUUAAGUACUAAAUAGANNNCCCAACANUAGUUGAUUACANUGAACAAGUUACUGUAGGGAUAACAGCGUAAUAUAUAUCUAAAGUUCUUAUUUUGAUAUAAGUUUGCGACCUCGAUGUUGAAUUNAUAUUACUUUCAAGCGCAAGAGCCUGAAAAGUGGGUCUGUUCGACCCCUAAAUAUAUACGUGAUCUGAGUUCAAACCGG